GAUGAAGAACGCAGCGAAAUGCGAUAAGUAGUGUGAAUUGCAGAAUUCAGUGAAUCAUCGAAUCUUUGAACGCACAUUGCGCCCUUUGGUAUUCCUUAGGGCAUGCCUGUUCGAGCGCCAUUUAAACCUUCAAGCUAAGCUUGGUGUUGGGUGACUGUCCGCUUCACGGCGGACUCGCCUCAAAAUUAUUGGCGGCCGGUACAUUGGCUUCGAGCGCAGCAGAAACGCGAACUCGGGCCCGUCGUAUUGGCUCCCAGAAGCUAUCUUCACAAUUUUGACCUCGGAUCAGGUAGGGAUACCCGCUGAACUUAAGCAUAUCAAUAAGCGGAGGA
rnacentral:misc_RNA from 1 species